GUGCGGCCAAGCGCAGCAGGAGUGCGGGCGCCGCCGCCUCGUAAGCGACGGCGGGUUCGAAACCCGCCGCCGCGCA
rnacentral:tRNA from 1 species